GCCUCGAUAGCUCAGUGGAUAAGGCGCUUGCGUUAAAAUCCAGAGGUCCCUGGUUCGAUCCCGGGUCGGGGCA